rnacentral:rRNA from 1 species
CCUACGGGAGGCAGCAGUAGGGAAUCUUUCACAAUGGGCGAAAGCCUGAUGGAGCAACGCCGCGUGCAGGAUGAAGGCCUUCGGGUUGUAAACUGCUUUUAUAAGCGAGAAAUAUGAUGGUAACUUAUGAAUAAGGAUCGGAUAACUACGUGCCAGCAGCCGCGGUCAUACGUAGGAUCCGAGCAUUAUCCGGAGUGACUGGGUGUAAAGAGUUGCGUAGGUGGCAUAAUAAGUAGCUAGUGGAAUCUGGUGGCUCAACCAUUCAGACUAUUAGCUAAACUGUUAAGCUCGAGACCGUUAGAGGUAAGUGGAAUUUCUAGUGUAGGAGUGAAAUGCGUAGAGAUUAGAAGGAACACCAAUAGCGUAGGCAGGUUACUGGAACGGUUCUGACACUAAGGCACGAAAGCGUAGGGAGCAAACGGGAUUAGAUACCCCUGUAGUC